CUCUUCAAUCUGGACUAAUUUCGCACAAAAUUUGUUUGUGGCCUUUUGAAUAACCGACCACCAAUGUAUUAAAGACUUGAUGGUCCGGUCAUUUGUAGUUUCUUUAAAUUGCUAGAAGUAUUCA